UCUCCGUUGGUGAACCAGCGGAGGGAUCAUUACAGGACUCGCAAGACUCCUACAACCCUGUGAACUUAACUAUAAGCACGUUGCUUCGGCGGGUGUCUCGGAGGGGGUUCUCCCGUCCUGAGACGCGAAACCCGCCGGCAGCCUACUAUACUCUGUCUCUUUGCGUUGGCAUCUCGAGUACAAUCAAACAAGUUAAAACUUUCAACAACGGAUCUCUUGGUUCUG
rnacentral:misc_RNA from 1 species